CCCUGAUAUGCUAUGAACGACAUUGUUACAUGUUGCAGCUGAUAUAUUUCAUUUUAUUGAAUUACAGGCUGGUUCAAUUCAUUGACUCUUAUGAUCCGCCAUUGAAAGGAUUACAUGAAGACUUGAAUUUUGUCAGCCCUCGUAUUGGAGAGGUUUUAGAGGCUGUGGGUCCUAUAAUAUUUCUAUCUACAGAUACCAGGAAGCUGAGAAAUGAGGGUUUUCUGAGUCCAUUUCAUCCUCGAUAUCCUGACAUUCUUA